AGGGGAGAAGAGAAAAAAACAGAGGAAGAUGAAAAGAGAUGCAGGGAAAAAGGCAGAAGAAGUCACAGUGGAAGAGUCAGCCGCAGAAAGAGGCAAGCGGAGAGAGACAUCAGUAGUUUAUGCCUCCAUUUCAUCAAUCUCCGGAGACUAUGGCGAGCCAGACAGGCCCACACGGCAUGCGGCACGCCUGUGUGUUCAGCACCAGACAACCUUAAGAGCGUGGACUCAGCAAAGGCCAGUGAUGGCCACAGUCCUGUGCCUCUUCUGAUGUUACUACAGGGUAUCCUGGGGCAAGGGAAACCACCCUCUGAAGAUGUCCCAUUGCUGCAGGUGUUGCCUGCUUGGACUGGGUACACUGCCUAUUUCCAGGAAUCAACCCAAAGAGGCAGAAACAAAGAGGAAGCUUUGUUUCAUCUUGGUGAGAAAAAAACCCACAAAACCAUAAACCUCUGGCAUACAAAUGUCAACUCCAAGACUUGCUUUUUUUGGUCAAAGGUCUAAAUGCUGUAUCAGGUGGGCGUCCUUCCGAGGUCACUUCAGAGGACACAAUGAUACCAGCCUUCAGCAACACCAAGACUGGCUUCUAAAAAUAGCCAGCCUCCAAGAGGCUAAGAGCAAGGCCGGAAAUCCUCACUGGGCUGCAUAAUACAAGCCAGCGUGGCUCGACCAAUAACAGAUUAAACCUGGCCAAGCCAAUUAGGGAGGAAUUCAUAAGUUGAUUUUCAACUAAAUCUUUACAAAGCCUGCUGUAAAGUGUCCCAGAAAUACCAAGUUGAAAGUGUGAAGACUGGAAACCCUCAUAGGCACAAACCCCACUGGGUUUUCUCUUCUCAAUCCCCAGCCAGCCAGGCUCCUUUUAAAAUACGCAACUAUCAGCCCUGCGCUGCCUGAUGCCAGAGGCAAUUAAAAUCCUGGCCUUGAUUACCUGGGCUUAGACUAAAAUAACAAAGAGGAGUGGAUUACACUCAACAAGAUGGCAUCCAGAAAGGACAUUCCAGGACAAUCUGCUUAAAGAAGAAAAUAAUAUAUCAGGUGGGAUAGAGUGGACUGGCCAGGAUUGGUGGAAAAGCUCUUGAUGGAACACAAUUUGUUAUUCAGUUAUUUAAAUUCUUCAGUAAAUAUAUCAACCUUCCCGUCACACACGCACACCCACACCCCGUCACACACGAUAAUGUCCAGAUCCUUGGUGUGGCACUCAAGACCCUUUGUGAUCUGACCCUAACUUAUUUUUCAAGACGCUAUGUGCUCCCUACCCACCCCCUGUGCUCAGGGCUGAUACUGAGCUGGGGUGUUUGUAGAUCAAGUCGUCCUGCUUUCCAACCACUUCAAAACCAUUUGGACUUGCCCAAAUUCACCAAGUUUCCCAUACUCCUGAGCCUUUGUAUGUACCACGGCAAUCUGUCAAUUUCCUUCUCUUCUUGUCUGCUGGAUGGAUUACCAUUUAUGUUUCAGGUUCAACUCAAACUUAACCUUCUCCAUGAAGGCUCUCCCCUACCCCAGGGAGAACUGGGAGCCACGGGCACCUCCCCUCCUCACUCGCAUAAUGCCUUGCAUGUGUCCCUCUACUUGUUUAGUUGACUUGCUCCCUGGACGGCAACCCCCUUGAAACCACGGACAUUUUUGACUCUUUUCCGAGGUCCCACAAUUUGGUGAGGCGCCCGUCCCAUAGCAGACGUUUAGAGGUUAUCUUGUUUCAUAAACACAAAGUCAUUGUCACCAGCUGUAAACACAAACACGAGAAGAGGCAGAGACGGCUACAAUGUGGGACUGGAGAGCACUGUGCUUAGUGACGGGGAGCGAGGGGGGCCGUUAGGUUCCAACACAUCCACAUGGCACUUCUCAGCGCUGUCACGCCCACAGAAGGGUUCGAAGAAAGUUGGUUGUAGAACCAGUCAGUUAGGAAAGUCUAACUCUAAGGAAAAUAACUAUCGCUUUUUUGUGUUUUGGAACUUUCUAUAAUUUAGUAAAUUUAGAAAUUUUAUAAUAUAGUCUGCUUAAGGCAGCAGUCCCCAGCCUUUUCGGCACCAGGGACCGGUUUCUUGGAAGACAGUUUUUCCACGGACGGGGUCGGGGGAUGGUUUCGGGAUGAUUCAAGUGCAUUACCUUUAUUGUGCACUUUAUUUCUAGUAUUAUUACAUUGUAACAUAUAAUGAAAUAAUUAUACAA